rnacentral:lncRNA from 1 species
GGCAGAUGUCUCAUCUCUUAGUCUUUAGAAGUUUGACGUCAAGGUGUCAGCAGUGAUGAUUUCUUCUAAGGCUUUUCUGGCCUGUAGAUAGUUGUGUUCUUCCAGUGUCUUCACAUGGUGUUCCCUCUGGGUAGCCAACAUGGAUUUUAACAGAGCCUAACCUACCUGGGGGAAGGAGCAUAUCCAGCCCCAGCCUUUGCUAGUCUUCCUGUCUCACUCUGUGGAAAUUAGUAAAGAAAGCUCAGCUAAACUGGAUGGGGAAGGCCUGCAGGGGGAGCUCUCACCCCCAUCACACAUCAUCAAUUACUCCAAAGGGGAAGAGAGGACCUUGUCUCUCAGAUGGGAAGUACAGUGGCUUUACUACUAAAGGAAGAUUCUCUCCCCACCCAGCAACAGCCCAGCCAAUGAGAGAUGCCACAGCCCAGCCAAUCAGAAAUGCCACAGUUCAGCAAAUGAGAAACACUGCAGCUUAGCCAAUGAGAAAUGCUGCAGCCCAGCCAAUGAGAGAUGCUGCACCUCAGCCAAUCAGAAAGGCCACAGCCCAGCCAAUCAGAAAUGCCACUGCCCCACCAAUGAGAAACACUGCAGCUCAGCCAGUGAGAAAUGCCACAGCUCAGCCAAUGAGGAGCUGUUGCCAUGCUGAACUGUUACUCUCGCUAACGGACUUUCCUUUAGAAGAGCCCCUCCCUCUCCCCCUUCUCUAUAACCGCAGCUCCCCUCAUUUGUUCUGUAGAUUUGGCUAUGGUUUGCCACAGCAUGUACAUCCUGAAUUACAAUUCUUUUGGCUAUUUUCAAAUAAACUCGUUUAGAGGUAAACUAGUAGGCAAAUUUGCUUUUUAAGUUGACAACUCAAAGAGGAAUUUUGAAAGAAGCAAGGGGAACCCGCCCCCUCCCCCCCAGCUUACCAAUAGAGGAAUAAGGAUAAGAAUUACUUCAGACUUCUCUUCAGAAACCGUGCAAACAGGUCAGAAGCCAUGCCUCUGUUCAGCCAGGAAAAGUCGCUCGCAGGACCUGGGGAGCAGCGUGCUGCGGCCCACCCCGAGAACAAAGUCCAUAAAAUCUUAUCAGGCUUAUCAAGCACUGACCUUUGCCACCCUUGAGAACAGAGGCCUGCUGGGUGCCGCCCCGCGCUGCCUCCCUCUCAGAUCCUGGCUGGCCAGAACCCUGAAACUCCCUCAAGGCUGAAUUAAUCAUUGCCUGCCGGCAGCUAGCAGGCUGCCUCCACCAGCCCAAGGUGUCCAGACCUUUGGCCACAGCAUCACCUGAAGGGAGGGCAGGGCAGCCCCCCACCUUGCCCAGCCCCCAGCUCCUGCUGGUCUCCACUGCGGGGAGGUCUUGCCCUGGACCUCCUCUGGAUGGGGCUUGAUGGAGGGUGUGGGUGGGGUUCUCCAUCGAAAAGUGGUCUAGACCUGCAGCUUCAGGUAUAGACCCCACCCUGUUGCCUCAUCAGAUGGAUGAGAGGGGAC